rnacentral:lncRNA from 1 species
GAUGUAUUUUCCUUUAUUUUCUAAAUAAAACUGAGCUCUAACAUGGAGCUGUAACACUGAGAGUUGUGAUGCACUGAGGGCUUUAACGUCGGUCACUUCAAAUUUUUCUUGUGAGGAGACAGAACCAAGUAAAUUACACACUCCCCCUGACAACUGUAAUUGUAAUCACCUACAGAGGGGCAAGUAGAACUCCUUGUUCCUUUCCUAAAGAUCUGCAAUAACAGAUUAAUAAUAGCCUCAGCCUGUGAAUCCUGUUUCUGUAUCUGAUUGACUCAGGAGUCUCCUUUGAUAACCACAUGCCUGCAGAUGGUACUGUUCUGAGAAGAUCAUCAGCCUUAUCUGAGGACCUGCACUCUGGUCCUCAUACAGCAGAGACAGCCCUUUCCACUCUGGAGGUAAGACUGGGAAAAUUUGAGUCCAGAGCCCUCUGCUGCCUCUGGGCCCACUGCCUGUCCAAACACACCUGCAGGAGGAGAGAAGGACCUUGUUACAAACAAGAGAAGAGGUGAGUGACACCAAGGGGGCCCAAGUUCCUAGUCUCAAAAGACUUCAGAAGAAAGCGUCACAUUACACUUAA